AGUGUUUUUCUCUCCACUUAAAUCGAAGAGA
rfam:Turnip vein-clearing virus, complete genome.